AGUGAACGCUGGCGGUAGGCCUAACACAUGCAAGUCGAACGGCAGCACAGUAAGAGCUUGCUCUUACGGGUGGCGAGUGGCGGACGGGUGAGGAAUACAUCGGAAUCUACUUUUUCGUGGGGGAUAACGUAGGGAAACUUACGCUAAUACCGCAUACGACCCACGGGUGAAAGCAGGGGAUCUUCGGACCUUGCGCGAUUGAAUGAGCCGAUGUCGGAUUAGCUAGUUGGCGGGGUAAAGGCCCACCAAGGCGACGAUCCGUAGCUGGUCUGAGAGGAUGAUCGGCGACACUGGAGCUGAGACGCGGUCCAGACUCCUACGGGAGGCAGCAGUGUGGAAUAUUGGACAAUGGGCGCAAGCCUGAUCCAGCCAUACCGCGUGGGUGAAGAAGGCCUUCGGGUUGUAAAGCCCUUUUGUUGGGAAAGAAAAGCAGCAGGUUAAUACCCCGCUGUUCUGACGGUACCCAAAGAAUAAGCACCGGCUAACUUCGUG
rnacentral:rRNA from 1 species